GGUACUUGCAUCCCUGGAUCCGAUGAAAGCUGUAAUGGCACUGGACGGAGUUAAAAACAGAGAGUGCCUGGCGUGCAUGCUGUACCUGCGCUCCCUGGACUUUGUGUGGCUGUCAUGGCCCAUAACAGAUGAUGCAGGAUGGAGGCGACGCCGCAGAACCUGAGACGGAGGAGAAGCUUCCCCAACAGGAGUCAUGAGCGGCAGAUGUUUAUCUUGUAUAAUUUGCUGUUUGCCCGACUUUCACCUGAUCGUUCUGCUGAUCUUAGGAUAAAUCACAUUUCCUGCCUCCUGUAACGGCUGCUAGAAGAUUGUGUCUCGCUCUCCGGGAACUAACACUGAUCUGAAUAAACACCGUGUGAUGCUUCAUUUACCCUGCGGGGGG